UACAGAGGUCCCGAGCGUUGUUCGGAUUCACUGGGCGUAAAGGGUGCGUAGGUGGCUGGGAAAGUUUGAUGUGAAAGCUCAGGGCUUAACCCUGAAAUGGCAUUGAAUACUGCCUGGCUGGAGGUUUGGAGGGGGGACUGGAAUUCUUGGUGUAGCAGUGAAAUGCGUAGAUAUCAGGAGGAACACCAGUGGCGAAGGCGAGUCCCUGGACAACACCUGACACUGAGGCACGAAAGCCGGGGGAGCAAACAGG
rnacentral:rRNA from 1 species